ensembl:lncRNA novel transcript
UAUGUAAUUACAUGUAUGUAAGUGCUGCAAAGAAGAAAAUGUAAAAAUGUAUGAAGAGCUGUAACAGAGGAAACUGACUUUUAAAGUGGUGAGCUGGCUUCCCUAAAGAAAGGCAUUUAAGGAAAUCUGAGGAAGGAGAGGGAUAGUCUGCCUUCAGAGUUUUGUUUUUGAGAUAGGUCUCACUGUCACCCAGGCUGAGAGGCUGAGAUCAUAGCUCACUUCGUCCUCGCGUCUCCAGCACAGGUCCGGGUUUCUCCACCCAAUGCGCCUGCGCACAGGCCUAGCCCAGUCGGACGCAGCCCAGGACUGCCAGGGGUGGGGAUUGCCUGGGUCCCCCAGGAAGGGCCGGGUUACGUCCGGAAAAGUGAGGCCCGGGGUUCCAGUUAAUUGUUACCGGAAGUGGAGGGAAGCGUUGCCAGGGGAGGGCGGAGACUGUGGCUGACAAGAUGGGUGGCAGGCCCUUCCCUGGGGGUAUCGAGGUAGGGACGUUUGUGGCUACGUCUGUCCUAGAGGAGGAGACGAUGCCAGGGGAGAGGGAGACGCAGACACUGGGACUGGGUCGCCAGCAGAGGGCCUCGGAAGCCAAGCCACCCCGUCUGAAGACGCUUCUCCUUACGGAGCCCAGAAGCGCGAACGGAGACUGCGCAGAUCCCGUGCGCUGCGCCGGAAACGGAUGCAUAGUCUCGGACACCAGCUCAGACCUGCCGCCUGGCCAGGUCCGUGCGCGUUUGUAGUUUGUAAAGAAAUGUUCUAAUGUGUA